rnacentral:rRNA from 1 species
AGUCGAACGCCCCGCAAGGGGAGUGGCAGACGGGUGAGUAACGCGUGGGAACAUACCCUUUCCUGCGGAAUAGCUCCGGGAAACUGGAAUUAAUACCGCAUACGCCCUACGGGGGAAAGAUUUAUCGGGGAAGGAUUGGCCCGCGUUGGAUUAGCUAGUUGGUGGGGUAAAGGCCUACCAAGGCGACGAUCCAUAGCUGGUCUGAGAGGAUGAUCAGCCACAUUGGGACUGAGACACGGCCCAAACUCCUACGGGAGGCAGCAGUGGGGAAUAUUGGACAAUGGGCGCAAGCCUGAUCCAGCCAUGCCGCGUGAGUGAUGAAGGCCUUAGGGUUGUAAAGCUCUUUCACCGGAGAAGAUAAUGACGGUAUCCGGAGAAGAAGCCCCGGCUAACUUCGUGCCAGCCAGCCGCGGUAUUACCAAGGGGGCUAGCGUUGUUCGGAAUAUGUCUGCGCUGAGCGCACGUAGGCUGAUAUUUAAGUCAGGGGUGAAAUCCGAGACCUCAACUCUGGAACUGCCUU